CAACUAUACUGUGAAACUGCGAAUGGCUCAUUAAAUCAGUUAUCGUUUAUUUGAUCAUAACCUACUACAUGGAAUACCUGUGGAAAAUCUAGAGCUAAUACAUGCUAAAGCCCCGACUUCGGAAGGGGUGUGUUUAUUAGAUAAAAAGCCAAUGCCCUUCGGGGCUCCUUGGUGAUUCAUGAUAACCUUUCUGAUCGCAAAUGGCCUCCGCGCCGGCGACGGUUCAUUCAAAUUUCUGCCCUAUCAACUUUCGAUGGUACGGUAGUGGCCUACCAUGGUGUCAACGGGUAACGGGGAAUUAGGGUUCGAUUCCGGAGAGGGAGCCUGAGAAACGGCUACCACAUCCAAGGAAGGCAGCAGGCGCGCAAAUUACACAAUGUCGACUCGACGAUGUAGUGACAAUAAAUACUGAUACAGGGCUCUUUUGGGUCUUGUAAUUGGAAUGAGUACAAUUUAAACCUCUUAACGAGGAACAAUUAGAGGGCAAGUCUGGUGCCAGCAGCCGCGGUAAUUCCAGCUCUAAUAGCGUAUAUUAAAGUUGUUGCAGUUAAAAAGCUCGUAGUUGAACCUUUGGCUUGGCGAGCACGUCCGCCUCACCGCGUGCACGUGACCCGCCGAGCCUUUUCUUCUGGAGAACCGCAUGCCCUUCACUGGGUGUGUUGGGGACCAGGACUUUUACUUUGAAAAAAUUAGAGUGUUCAAAGCAGGCCUUUGCUCGAAUACGUUAGCAUGGAAUAAUGGAAUAGGACGUGCGGUCCUAUUUUGUUGGUUUCUAGGACCGCCGUAAUGAUUAAUAGGGACAGUCGGGGGCAUCAGUAUUCAAUUGUCAGAGGUGAAAUUCUUGGAUUUAUUGAAGACUAACUACUGCGAAAGCAUUUGCCAAGGAUGUUUUCAUUAAUCAGUGAACGAAAGUUAGGGGAUCGAAGACGAUCAGAUACCGUCGUAGUCUUAACCAUAAACUAUGCCAGCUGGGGAUCGGACGGUGUUUCUAUUGUGACCCGUUCGGCACCCUACGAGAAAUCAAAGCGUUUGGGUU
rnacentral:rRNA from 1 species